AUCGAACGCUGGCGGCAGGCUUAACACAUGCAAGUCGAGCGGGGUGAUGGUGCUUGCACUAUCACUUAGCGGCGGACGGGUGAGUAAUGCUUAGGAAUCUGCCUAUUAGUGGGGGACAACAUCUCGAAAGGGAUGCUAAUACCGCAUACGCCCUACGGGAGAAAGCAGGGGAUCACUUGUGACCUUGCGCUAAUAGAUGAGCCUAGGUCGGAUUAGCUAGUUGGGGGGGUAAAGGCCCACCAAGGCGACGAUCUGUAGCGGGUCUGAGAGGAGGAUCCGCCACACUGGGACUGGGGCACGGCCCAGACUCCUACGGGGGGCAGCAGUGUGGAAUAUUGGACAAUGGGGGGAACCCUGAUCCAGCCAUGCGGCGUGUGUGAAGAAGGCCUUAUGGUUGUAAAGCACUUUAAGCGAGGAGGAGUCUCUUUUGGUUAAUACCCGAGAUGAGUGGACGUUACUCGCAGAAUAAGCACCGGCUAACUCCGUGCCAGCCGCCGCGGUAA
rnacentral:rRNA from 1 species